GGAUAACCUACCCUUAGGACUGGGAUAACCCUGGGAAACUGGGGAUAAUACCGGAUAGGCAAUUUUUCCUGGAAUGGUUUUUUGUUUAAAUGUUUUUUCGCCUAAGGAUGGGUCUGCGGCCGAUUAGGUAGUUGGUUAGGUAACGGCUUACCAAGCCAUUGAUCGGUACGGGUUGUGAGAGCAAGAGCCCGGAGAUGGAACCUGAGACAAGGUUCCAGGCCCUACGGGGUGCAGCAGGCGCGAAACCUCCGCAAUGUGAGAAAUCGCGACGGGGGGAUCCCAAGUGCCAUUCUUAACGGGAUGGCUUUUCAUUAGUGUAAAGAGCUUUUGGAAUAAGGGCUGGGCAAGACCGGUGCCAGCCGCCGCGGUAACACCGGCAGCUCUAGUGGUAGCAGUUUUUAUUGGGCCUAAAGCGUCCGUAGCCGGUUUAAUAAGUCUCUGGUGAAAUCCUGUAGCUUAACUGU
rnacentral:rRNA from 1 species